UACGAAGGGGGCUAGCGUUGCUCGGAAUUACUGGGCGUAAAGGGCGCGUAGGCGGCUUAGUUAGUCAGGCGUGAAAUUCCCGGGCUCAACCUGGGGGCUGCGCUUGAUACAUGUACGCUUGAGUUCGGAAGAGGGUCGUGGAAUUCCCAGUGUAGAGGUGAAAUUCGUCAGAUAUUGGGAAGAACACCGGUGGCGAAGGCGGC
rnacentral:rRNA from 1 species